CCCUAGCCGUCACACCCCUUUUCUCCAAAUGCACUCACACAACACAAAAACACACACACAGCAAGAGAAAGGGAAGAACGAAGAGGGAAAGAAAGGAAAAGAAAGGGGGAAGUUGGAAUCAGAGUACAAGAAAAGGAGAGGGGGAAGAGGGAGGAUGGCGCCAACGGGCAUCACUGCCGCCGCGCCGUCGUGUCGCUGUCAGGAAGGAGGAGACGUUGAGUGAGAGGAAGAGCUUCGUGAGGAAGGAGCACCACUGUGCCUCCAUCGCCGCCGUCAUUUCGCGUUCUGCUGUCGCCGAGGGAAGCCGCCGCCGUCUUCGUCUGCAUCGCGAGCGGGUCGUUGCCAGCUUCCACCGCUGUUGCAUCUCCCAUCACGAACGAAGCUGAGGACGCACAGGAGAGACAGACGCGUGGAGAGAGGAAGACGGAGGAAAAAGGAUGAGGCGUUGUUCACCCUACUGCGCCCCAGUCGCUGUUUGUGUAGUCACCGUCGUCACUGCUGUUAGGGGUUGCGUCACUGAGCCUCUGUCGCCAAAAAACAGCGCUGCCUCGCCGGGAUUCACUGCUGGUAAGAGCGUUCUCCCCUCUGAUUUUGAUUUUCUUUAAUUUUUGGGAAUAUUGUUGUCAUUGAUUUCCAUCAAGAGCUUCGGAUAGGAGGGAAGGGCAAGCUCAAGGGAGUUGAUGAGUAGCUAAGAUUGCUUAGGAGCUCUGAGAUUGGCCCUUAUCAUUGUUUCUGCUGUUAUGCUUUCUAUUACAUUUGCUGGAUUCUGGAAAAGGUGCAAUUCCCUUGGAGAAUUCCAAAAACACAUACAAGAUCAAACCUAAACUGCAGUAUGAUGUGAAAAGUUAUUGCAUGGAGUACUAUUUUGAAACCAAAAUUGGAAAAUCUUUUGACUGGAACUCUACUUUUCAUGAUCUGCAGUUAUGUUUUGGUGUAAAGGAAUUUUUGGUGUGUGGCACUUAUUAGAAGCUUCUCCAUGAGAAAGGAACUAAAAGAACAUAAUGGAGUUUGUAAUUUGUAGUUUACAUUUUGAAGAUUUAUAAUUCCUUGUUUUUUUUGUCCAAUGUAUCUAUCUAGUUCAUUAGGGUUCUUCAAUAUAUCUUGUUAGUUUGUACUUUAAAGUUUAUAUGUUGAAGAUUUAUAAAACACUCUUAGUUAAAUGAAAGAAAGAUAUUUGUUAUUAUA